rnacentral:rRNA from 1 species
ACAUGCAAGUCGAGCGGAAACGAAGAGUAGCUUGCUACUCUGGCGUCGAGCGGCGGACGGGUGAGUAAUGCUUGGGAACAUGCCUUGAGGUGGGGGACAACAGUUGGAAACGACUGCUAAUACCGCAUAAUGUCUACGGACCAAAGGGGGCUUCGGCUCUCGCCUUUAGAUUGGCCCAAGUGGGAUUAGCUAGUUGGUGAGGUAAUGGCUCACCAAGGCGACGAUCCCUAGCUGGUUUGAGAGGAUGAUCAGCCACACUGGGACUGAGACACGGCCCAGACUCCUACGGGAGGCAGCAGUGGGGAAUAUUGCACAAUGGGCGCAAGCCUGAUGCAGCCAUGCCGCGUGUGUGAAGAAGGCCUUCGGGUUGUAAAGCACUUUCAGUCAGGAGGAAAGGUUAGUAGUUAAUACCUGCUAGCUGUGACGUUACUGACAGAAGAAGCACCGGCUAACUCCGUGCCAGCAGCCGCGGUAAUACGGAGGGUGCGAGCGUUAAUCGGAAUUACUGGGCGUAAAGCGUACGCAGGCGGUUUUG